UACGAAGGGGGCCAGCGUUGUUCGGAAUCACUGGGCGUAAAGCGCACGCAGGCGGGUCGUUAAGUCAGGGGUGAAAUCCCGAGGCUCAACCUCGGAACUGCCUUUGAUACUGGCGACCUUGGAGUCCGGGAGAGGUGAGUGGAACUCCGAGUGUAGAGGUGAAAUUCGUAGAUAUUCGGAAGAACACCAGUGGCGAAGGCGGCUCACUGGCCCGGUACUGACGCUCAUGUGCGAAAGCGUGGGGAGCAAACAGG
rnacentral:rRNA from 1 species